AUGGCAGAACCGACUGACACGCAGAGCCGCGAUUGGAAUUCCCUCCCCGAUGUUCUCUUGGAGCAGAUCUGUAAUCGUAUGGACCUACUCAGAACCGUCCGUCUAGCCACACGCUUGGUGUCUUUGUACCGUCUACUCGUGUGCAACCGGCCGGCUCUUUUCAAGACACCCUACUUGCUGAUGUCCGAUACUCGUAGGUGGCCCAGACACCGACUUGACGAUCCUAGGGAGGUUUCUAUGGUGCCCCUCGACAUGCUACCAGUACCCGUCCGCCUGUCCUUCAUUCGCGGCCACUACUCGGCGGGCAUGAAGGCCAACUGGAUCGUCCUCAUCCACCAAUCCGGUAGUCCAUGGCAUCUCGUGGAUAUCUACACCCAGCGAGAGAUCACCCUUCCAUCUUUGGAUACCGCCGCCAUCGAGCCUCGCGGCCCGCCGGACACUCCUGCCUACUACGCAUGA
rnacentral:rRNA from 1 species